AAGCUAAACGCAAAUGGAGAAUGGUGGGUGGUCACCGAAUAUUUCGACGAACACAACCACGAACUCAUAAAGAAGUUUGACCUGGUAAAAUUUCUGAGCGCCCACAGAGGAUUCAGCCCCCUCGAGAAGAAAUUCAUAAAGUUGCUACAUGAUUGUAACGUUGGUCCAUCAAGAAUGGUCCAAAUACUGUCCCUGAUCCAUAGUGGAGAUGGUAGUCUGAGUAGCAUGCCCUACAUACCAGCAGACGUCACAAACCUAAAGGCAAAGUAUCAUAGAGAGAGCAGGUUGGCUGACAUAGAAGACACAAUAGCCUACUUUGAAGAGAAAGCAAAAGCAGAUACUGAUUUCUUCUACAGGAUAAUAUUGGACGAUGAGGACCGUGUCAGAAACAUGUAUUGGGUGGAUGGUGCCGCAAGAAGAGCCUACAAACAUUUCCGUGAUUGCAUUUCGUUCGACGUGACAUAUCUCACUAAUAUGUACAAGAUGCCCUGCGCUCCAUUCAUAGGAAUAAAUAACCACAAUACAGAUGGUUACACUUGGCUGUUCAAAACCUUCUUGGAGUGCAUGGGUGGACUUGCUCCGAUGAACAUAAUAACAGACCAGGAUUUUAGCAUGCGUGCAGGCAUAGAGGAGGUCUUUCCGUUGGCAGUGCACAAGCACUACAGGUGGCAUAUUAUUAAGAAGGCUGAGGAGACGCUAGGACCAUUCUUUGAGACUACUCAGUGCAACGAGGGGUUCAAUGCUGUUUUGAAGCGACGAGACGGGAUUGUGUGCUAUCACAUACUCAAAAUAAUGGACAUGCACGCGGUCACGAUGCCCCGCCAUUUCAUACGACGGCGAUGGACUUGGGACGCUGAUGAUGCGUUGGGGCCACAAACAUCAAAUGCAGUUUUGGCUGUGCAUGAUGACAGACCAGAGGCAACCAUGGACGCUGUGAGGCACGUUGUGUUGACCAAGAACUAUGCUGAACUAAUAGAUGAAGCAUGCAAGAGUGAUGAGACAGCGAGGGUGGCAGAAAAACACUGGAGGCCCUGA
rnacentral:rRNA from 1 species